rnacentral:rRNA from 1 species
CGCUAUCACUCCUACGGGAGGCAGCAGUGGGGAAUAUUGCACAAUGGGCGCAAGCCUGAUGCAGCCAUGCCGCGUGAGUGAUGAAGGCCCUAGGGUCGUAAAGCUCUUUCGCCAGAGAUGAUAAUGACAGUAUCUGGUAAAGAAACCCCGGCUAACUCCGUGCCAGCAGCCGCGGUAAUACGGAGGGGUUAGCGUUGUUCGGAAUUACUGGGCGUAAAGCGUACGUAGGCGGAUUAGUUAGUCAGAGGUGAAAUCCCCAGGGCUCAACCCCUGGAACUGCCUUUGAUACUGCUAGUCUUGAGUUCGAGAGAGGUGAGUGGAAUUCCGAGUGUAGAGGUGAAAUUCGUAGAUAUUCGGAGGAACACCAGUGGCGAAGGCGGCUCACUGGCUCGAUACUGACGCUGAGGUACGAAAGUGUGGGGAGCAAACAGGAUUAGAUACCCUGGUAG